AGUGAUUAGUGACUUGUUUAACGUUGAUGUCCAAAAUUUAAAUAUUCGCGGCUGUUACGCCUGUCGGCUUAACUAGUCUUUGCCAAUUGCCAACAACUAUACUUUAUUACUGUCUGGCUUUAGCACAUGGAAAUAAGAAAGCAUUAACUUUUAUACUCACCUAUAAAAGUUCCCAAAGCAAAAGGCACCAAUGGAACUCCAAUGACUGGUGCAGUCAAGUUAAUAAACCAGUUGGGUAAAAAUGGUGUGACCCUCAAAAAUAUCAUGUAAUUGAGCAAAUUGUGUUUGUGCUUUUCCACAGCAAUGGACCACUGUGCUG